rnacentral:rRNA from 1 species
AACGUAGGUUCCGAGCGUUAUCCGGAUUUACUGGGCGUAAAGCGCGUUCAGGCGGUUUGGCAAGUCGGGCAUGAAAUCUCUCGGCUCAACCGGGAGAGGUUGUCCGAUACUGCUGGACUUGAGGGCAGUAGAGGGUGGUGGAAUUCCGGGUGUAGUGGUGAAAUGCGUAGAUAUCCGGAGGAACACCAGUGGCGAAAGCGGCCACCUGGACUGUACCUGACGCUGAGGUGCGAAAGCGUGGGGAGCAAACAGG